rnacentral:rRNA from 1 species
UACAUGUGGGGCAAGCGUUGUUCGGAAUUACUGGGCAUAAAGGGUGCGUAGGUGGCUUGUUAAGUCAGGGGUGAGAGUUUUCGGCCCAACCGGAAAAUGGCCUUUGAUACUGGCGAGCUCGAGUGCGUGAGGGGUAACCGGAACGAGCAGUGUAGCGGUGAAAUGCGUAGAUAUUGCUCGGAAGGCCAACGGCGAAGGCAGGUUACUGGUGCGCAACUGACACUGAGGCACGAAAGCGUGGGGAGCAAACAGG